UCUCAGGGAGCGAUUGUUCCUCUCAGUUCAUAGUAUCUCCCCUCCAAAUAGCUUUCUCCUGGCAGGUCGGGUAGUGGGUAAAACAGGAAUAUAAGUUGGCCGGCUAAUGUGAGGUUGUGCGUCUGAGCCGGACUUCCACGUGUUUAUUACUAGGACUCGCUAGGGACCUCACUACUUUCUGGAGCCAAAUGCCUGCCAGGGAUGAGGUUCUCUC